rnacentral:rRNA from 1 species
UACGAAGGGGGCUCGCGUUGCUCGGAAUCACUGGGCGUAAAGGGUGCGUAGGCGGGUUUUUAAGUCAGAGGUGAAAUCCUGGAGCUCAACUCCAGAACUGCCUUUGAUACUGAAGAUCUUGAGUUCGGGAGAGGUGAGUGGAACUGCGAGUGUAGAGGUGAAAUUCGUAGAUAUUCGCAAGAACACCAGUGGCGAAGGCGGCUCACUGGCCCGAUACUGACGCUGAGGCACGAAAGCGUGGGGAGCAAACAGG